AACCGUACGGCUGAUACCGUAAUGUCAUGUCUAUGCGUGCACAAAACAUUUUAAGCGCGGAUGAUUUGACCAUGUUUCGGCAAAGUGCGGAUAGCUUGACCGCAGUAAUUUACAUGAGCUGUCUAUAGAUCGUUUAAGAUCGGAAUUUUUCAUACAAAACAAUUUGGUUUCGCGCUGUCAGUUUAUUAAAAGUAGAGAAGAAAACAUUCAAACGGUUUCCAAAUGUUAUGAAGUAUCUAUAAAAAUCUUCACUUAGACGCGAUUAUUUUUUCCCGGCAACAUCGGUAAUAUUUACUUCUUUGGAAAUGUACCAUUUUGCGGAAUUUCGAAACGUCAUUAGGAAUUGACGUGCGUAACCCAUAGUGCACUGCGGUAAACCCGUUUUCUCGCUAUAUAUAUAUAACUGAAGCAUCGCGGAUGAGAAAUGGAUCGUUUCUUGAUUAAAACUGGCACAACAGGCCCUGGAAAAACUGAAAAUGAGGACAAGAAAAUAAAAACAAAAGCUAAAAGGGACCAAAGAAAAUCCUCUCCAGCUGUCCCACAACAUCCUCUGCACCUCUCAGGAGAACAAAAUGUUCCUUCGAAAACUCGGUUACCCACAGGGCAACUUAUACCAAGUCAAUGCACACCAACAGAGAGGAUCCUUCUGCAAAUGUUGGGGGAGUUGCAGAGCCAGGUCCAACACCUGACACAGAUUGUUACCCAAAGACCUCCCUUUUUGGGUAACGGUCCUGCAGAGACACCAUUAACAACGGCAAGUGCACUGUACAAAAUUGCUUUAUGAUCUAUUUUAAUUAAAUUAUUUUAGAUUGAUUUUGGAAAUGUUAAUUUUUUUCCUAGUCUAAAUAAUAAAGUUUCAAGGUGUAGUUAAGUUUAUAUUUCAUACCAAUUGUAUUUCUAAGUGAAUUACUAUUAACUCAAUUACAGAGAUUUUAAAAAUACUUUGAACUUUAAAUAAUUUAAUCUUUUGAUUUAGAUCAGCGGUUCCCAAACUAGGGUACGCGUACCCUCUGGGGUACGCAAGAGGCUGAGGGGGUACGCGAGGGAGCGGGGGGAAUCACGAAUUCGAACAACGAGACAGUCAGUAAUUCUCACAAUAACGGAGUCGGUGACCUCCAAAAACACAACAUACAGUCGUGUUUAUGUCAUAUGUUUUUGUGCUUAUUAAAUUUAAGUGUUUUCCAAAGAUUAAUC